rnacentral:rRNA from 1 species
CCUACGGGCGGCAGCAGUGGGGAAUAUUGGACAAUGGGCGAAAGCCUGAUCCAGCCAUGCCGCGUGUGUGAAGAAGGCCUUCGGGUUGUAAAGCACUUUCAGUGGGGAAGAAAGCCUUGGGGCUAAUACCCUCGAGGAAGGACAUCACCCACAGAAGAAGCACCGGCUAACUCCGUGCCAGCAGCCGCGGUAAUACGGAGGGUGCGAGCGUUAAUCGGAAUUACUGGGCGUAAAGCGCGCGUAGGCGGUCUGAUAAGCCGGUUGUGAAAGCCCCGGGCUCAACCUGGGAACGGCAUCCGGAACUGUCAGGCUAGAGUGCAGGAGAGGAAGGUAGAAUUCCCGGUGUGGCGGUGAAAUGCGUAGAGAUCGGGAGGAAUACCAGUGGCGAAGGCGGCCUUCUGGACUGACACUGACGCUGAGGUGCGAAAGCGUGGGUAGCAAACAGGAUUAGAUACCCCAGUAGUC